GACACACGGCGGGUGCUAACGUCCGUCGUGAAGAGGGAAACAACCCAGACCGCCAGCUAAGGUCCCAAAGUCAUGGUUAAGUGGGAAACGAUGUGGGAAGGCCCAGACAGCCAGGAUGUUGGCUUAGAAGCAGCCAUCAUUUAAAGAAAGCGUAAUAGCUCACUGGUCGAGUCGGCCUGCGCGGAAGAUGUAACGGGGCUAAACCAUGCACCGAAGCUGCGGCAGCGACACUGUGUGUUGUUGGGUAGGGGAGCGUUCUGUAAGCCUGUGAAGGUGUGUCGUGAGGCAUGCUGGAGGUAUCAGAAGUGCGAAUGCUGACAUAAGUAACGAUAAAGCGGGUGAAAAGCCCGCUCGCCGGAAGACCAAGGGUUCCUGUCCAACGUUAAUCGGGGCAGGGUGAGUCGACCCCUAAGGCGAGGCCGAAAGGCGUAGUCGAUGGGAAACGGGUUAAUAUUCCCGUACUUGGUGUUACUGCGAAGGGGGGACGGAGAAGGCUAUGUUGGCCGGGCGACGGUUGUCCCGGUUUAAGCGUGUAGGUGUGUGUUCCAGGUAAAUCCGGUUCACUUUAACACUGAGGCGUGACGACGAGGCACUACGGUGCUGAAGCAACAAAUGCCCUGCUUCCAGGAAAAGCCUCUAAGCAUCAGGUAACAUCAAAUCGUACCCCAAACCGACACAGGUGGUCAGGUAGAGAAUACCAAGGCGCUUGAGAGAACUCGGGUGAAGGAACUAGGCAAAAUGGUGCCGUAACUUCGGGAGAAGGCACGCUGACACGUAGGUGAAGUGAUUUACUCAUGGAGCUGAAGUCAGUCGAAGAUACCAGCUGGCUGCAACUGUUUAUUAAAAACACAGCACUGUGCAAACACGAAAGUGGACGUAUACGGUGUGACGCCUGCCCGGUGCCGGAAGGUUAAUUGAUGGGGUCAGCGCAAGCGAAGCUCCUGAUCGAAGCCCCGGUAAACGGCGGCCGUAACUAUAACGGUCCUAAGGUAGCGAAAUUCCUUGUCGGGUAAGUUCCGACCUGCACGAAUGGCGUAAUGAUGGCCAGGCUGUCUCCACCCGAGACUCAGUGAAAUUGAACUCGCUGUGAAGAUGCAGUGUACCCGCGGCAAGACGGAAAGACCCCGUGAACCUUUACUAUAGCUUGACACUGAACAUUGAGCCUUGAUGUGUAGGAUAGGUGGGAGGCUUUGAAGCGUGGAC
rnacentral:rRNA from 1 species